GAUCAUGGCUCAGAUUGAACGCUGGCGGCAGGCCUAACACAUGCAAGUCGAACGGUAACAGGAAACAGCUUGCUGUUUCGCUGACGAGUGGCGGACGGGUGAGUAAUGUCUGGGAAACUGCCUGAUGGAGGGGGAUAACUACUGGAAACGGUAGCUAAUACCGCAUAACGUCGCAAGACCAAAGAGGGGGGACCCUCGGGCCUCUUGCCAUCGGACGUGCCCAGAUGGGAUUAGCUUGCUGGUGGGGUAACGGCUCACCAAGGCGACGAUCCCUAGCUGGUCUGAGAGGAUGACCAGCCACACUGGAACUGAGACACGGUCCAGACUCCUACGGGAGGCAGCAGUGGGGAAUAUUGCACAAUGGGCGCAAGCCUGAUGCAGCCAUGCCGCGUGUAUGAAGCCGGCCUUCGGGUUGUAAAGUACUUUCAGCGGGGAGGAAGGGAGUAAAGUUAAUACCUUUGCUCAUUGACGUUACCCGCAGAAGAAGCACCGGCUAACUCCGUG
rnacentral:rRNA from 1 species